rnacentral:tRNA from 1 species
GCGCAUGUAGCUCAGCAGGAUAGAGCGGCGGUUUCCUAAACCGUAGGCCGGGGGUUCGAAUCCCUCCAUGCGCACCA